rnacentral:tRNA from 1 species
GGUCGAGCAGGCCGGCGGCGAGGGCCGGCCCCGGUUCGUGGCCGGGGGCCGGUUCGACCACGGCCUUGACCUCC